AUCUUUUUAGUACAAUUAGUAUAUUUGACUUCCAAUCAAAAGACCCUGGUUUAAACCCAAGAAAAGAUA
rnacentral:tRNA from 1 species